rnacentral:rRNA from 1 species
GACGAACGCUGGCGGCGUGCUUAACACAUGCAAGUCGAACGGAAAGGCCCAGCUUGCUGGGUGCUCGAGUGGCGAACGGGUGAGUAACACGUGGGUGAUCUGCCUCUAACUUCGGGAUAAGCUUGGGAAACUGGGUCUAAUACCGGAUAGGACAAUCGUUUAGUGUCGGUUGUGGAAAGUUUUUUCGGUUAGGGAUGAGCCCGCGGCCUAUCAGCUUGUUGGUGGGGUAAUGGCCUACCAAGGCGUCGACGGGUAGCCGGUCUGAGAGGGUGGACGGCCACAUUGGGACUGAGAUACGGCCCAGACUCCUACGGGAGGCAGCAGUGGGGAAUAUUGCACAAUGGGCGCAAGCCUGAUGCAGCGACGCCGCGUGGGGGAUGACGGCCUUCGGGUUGUAAACCUCUUUCGACAGGGACGAAGCUUUGGUGACGGUACCUGUAUAAGAAGCACCGGCUAACUACGUG